CUAAGCGGCUGUCCCCUUCCUCCCUCACUGCUCCAUGUGCUUCCCUCCCAAAGCCGCAUGCUCAGUAGAAGAGGAUGGCCAUCCCAUAAAGAAAAAGUGUACCAUUCUUCAGUCAAGUGUAUACAUUGCUGCGCUCCCUUGCUAGAAUCUCCAAACAACCUCAAGAAUCCCUAUGUACAAGUAAGUUGGUAGCUGAAAGUGAAGAUCAAGCCCAAAAUGUCUGCCCCUUUCUCAGACGAAGGGAACAAAGAGGCUGAUUGUCUUCUUUGAAGAAGGAGGAAGUGACCUUAAAAGGGACUUUCCAUGGAAAACAACAGAAACUCAGGCUUCCUGCUAUCUAUUGUUCUCUCCAGAGAAAGCCAGUGCAUCCUUUGGACAUUUAAUUUUUGCCAAUUAUUUUCUUGGAAUGAGGAG